CCUGCAUCCCACUGCUGGCUUGUCUCUGAAGCUAAGCAGGUUAGGUCCUGGUCAGUCCAUAGAUGGGAGACAAGAUGCUGCUAGAAGUGAUGUUGGAGGGACAGUAGGAGGCACUCUUUCAUUUGGUCUAUAAUUAAAUAUCACAAUGCCCCAGGGCAGUAAUAGGGAACGUUGCCCUGUGUACGGUGCCGUCUUUCAGAUGGGAUGUUAAACGGGUGUCCUGACUCUCCGUGGCCACUAAAGAGCCUAUGGCACUUAUCGUAAAUGUAGGGUUGUUAACCCCGCUGUCUUGGCUAAAUUCCCUAUCUGGCCCUCAUACCAUCAUGGUCACCUAAUCAUCCCCAGCUUCCAAUUGGCUCAUUUGUCUCCCCUGUAACUAUUCCCUAGGUUCUUGCUGUAAAUGAGAAAGUGUUCUCAAUCAACUUACCUGGUAAAAUAAGGGUUAAAAGUGAAAGGGUGAAAGCCACCUAAUCCUGGACUGCUGGUCUGGUAGGUGAGUCAUUGGAGUCCAUUCAUCUGGCUGUGAGUCCUCUACAUAUGCAGGCACACAGACAAACAGUCACAGGGAUUGAGGACACACAACCUUCUCCAAGGUCUUUUGUUCCAGCCCCACGGAAACACAACUGAUUCAACUAAUUAAAUGAGACAUCACUAUACUGAGAAAUGGAGCCUUUGUUCAUGUUUUUUCAGGGCCCCCAUACUAUUCAAUGAGGAUGAGGAAGUGAUUUGCUGUUUGGGGCUGCCUGUCAGGGUCUUGUUGACCCCCCCGUUCCUCCGAUGAACCCCCUCAACUCCAUGAAACCCGGUCUGCCUCCCACUCCGCACAGGUACACACACACACAGAGUGACUCAUAGAGGGAGUGCUGAGCUGAUUGUCAGUUGGCUUCUGGUUGGCUUUGACCUCUCACCUAUCCUGCUAUUGGCUGAUCUCUGGGAUCUGACUGCCGAUUUGCUGCUGCUGGCCCGAGCGCUGGUUUCCUGUUUAAGAGUUCACUUCCUGUGGUUUCAGGGGGGAAGUGGUUUCAAGAGCGUAACCUUAUCCGCACACACACACAAGGGUUGGGCUCAGUUCAAUUGAAUGUCUCAUAAAUUCCAAUUCAAUUCUUGAAUUUUAAUUAGUAAACAGGAUACAUAAUUGCAAUUUGAAUUAAAGGAAAUAGAAUUGAAUUCAG
rnacentral:lncRNA from 1 species